AUGCGUGAAGAACACAGAACUGGAGUUAAGUUUUAGACACAGAGACUGAGGAACAGUAGAGGAGAAGGAGUGAGGCAUGAUUGAGGAAGAGAAUAGAGGUCAGAGCUGUAGGGUCAUGUGAUUGUUCCUGUUCCGCACGGCACGGUGUGUAUUUGUGUGUAUCCUGGAGA